rnacentral:lncRNA from 1 species
CGGCGUCUUGGGGCGUCCACUGUGAGGACGGAGCUUCCUCUCAGCACCCACCCACGAGGGGCCGGAGCUUUGGGGCACCCGGGGACACCUGGGGCCGCGUCCGCUGUGAGGACAGGGAGACGCUCAGGGACACCUGGGGCCGCCGGGGAGAAAGGAGAGGAGAAGGAAAGCGGAGACCCCGUCGGGCUGUCGGGAUGUUGGGGACUGGCAGGCGCCACAGCCUGAGGUCGAGGAAACAGGCGCCUCCGGAUCAGUGCUCAUUUUGUGUUUGUUUUGUUUUGUUUUGUUUUGUUUGAGACGGACUUUCGCUCUUGUUUCCCAGGUUGGAGUGCAAUGGCGCGAUCUCGGCUCACUGCAACCUCCGCCUCCCGGGUUCAAGCGAUUCUCCUGCCUCAGCCUCUCGAGUAGCUGGGAUUACAGGCAUGCGCCAGCACGCCCGGCUAAUUUUGUGUUUUUAGUAGAGACGGGGUUUCUCCAUGUUGGUCAGGCUGGUCUUGAACUCCCAACCUCAUCAGGUGAUCCACCCACCUCGGCCUCCCAAAGUGCUGGGAUUACAGGCGUGAGCCACCUGGCCUGGUCAGUGCUCCGUGUUUUCAGGCUCGUUUGUUAACAUAGUAGAAACAACACAGGAAAAUGGAAAAGUAGGCACGUUAUCAUGCUCACGCCACUGCACUGAAGUCCUGGGCAACAGAGCGAGGCCUUGUCUCAA